GAAUUAAAGCUGGGGACAUUUUAGCCUGGCGCUUUAGGAGGAGCCUGCGUCCGAUUAGCUUGUUGGUGGGGUAAAAGCCUACCAAGGCGAUGAUCGGUAGCUGGUCUGAGAGGAUGAUCAGCCACACUGGGACUGAGACACGGCCCAGACUCCUACGGGAGGCAGCAGUGGGGAAUAUUGGACAAUGGGCGAAAGCCUGAUCCAGCAAUGCCACGUGUGUGAAGAAGGCCUGCGGGUUGUAAAGCACUUUCAACCACGAGGAAGGAUUAUUUCUUAAUAGGAGAUGAUCUUGACGUUAGUGGUACAAGAAGCACCGGCUAACUCUGUGCCAGCAGCCGCGGUAAUACAGAGGGUGCGAGCGUUAAUCGGAAUUACUGGGCGUAAAGAGCACGUAGGUGGUUAUUUAAGUUAGAUGUGAAAGCCCUGGGCUUAACCUAGGAAUUGCAUUUAAUACUGGGUGACUAGAGUAUAAUAGAGGAAAGUGGAAUUUCCGGUGUAGCGGUGAAAUGCGUAGAUAUCGGAAGGGACACCAGUG
rnacentral:rRNA from 1 species